rnacentral:rRNA from 1 species
UACGUAGGGUGCGAGCGUUAAUCGGAAUUACUGGGCGUAAAGUGUGCGCAGGCGGCCGAGCAAGUCGAGUGUGAAAGCCCCGAGCUUAACUUGGGAAUUGCGCUCGAAACUACUUGGCUGGAGUGUGGCAGAGGAAGGUGGAAUUCCAGGUGUAGCGGUGAAAUGCGUAGAGAUCUGGAGGAACACCGAUGGCGAAGGCAGCCUUCUGGGCCAACACUGACGCUCAUGCACGAAAGCGUGGGGAGCUAACAGG